ACCAGUCAUUAUAUGGUGUGACCACCAUUUGCCUCACGCAGUGAAACAUAAAGUUGAUCAGGUUGUUGGUCCACUCCUCUUCAAUGGCUGUGCGAAGUUGCUGGAUAUUGGCAGGAACUGGAACACGCUGUCGUAUACGCCAAUCCAGAGCAUCCCAAACAUGCUCAAUGGUGACAUGUCUGUGAAAACCGGGAUGCAUCCGUGAAGAGAACACCUCUCCAAAGUGCCAGACUCCAUCGAAGGCAGGCUUUGAUGCUGUUCUCCCCGCCUUAGGCUGUUCAUGUAUGCAUAUGGAAGGGCAGGGAGGUUUGCCACAGAACAGAGCCACACCGCA